UGCUAUCCUGAACCCAGGAACCAAACCACAUACAUGCUUCAGGUAGCUGCAAUGCAUUCUGGGACGCUAGAGUUUGUUCCCACGCCUCCGCUACUUCUCAUUAACAAAAAAGAAAAAAGGCGGCGGCCUGUGAGAAGAGGAGUUUUGUUUUUAAGAACUGUCAUGUCAGCACAAGACACAACCUGACAGAAAUGCAGCACAAUCCAACAUGAUCACUCACACAUGAGUGAUCCUUCAACAGAGGAGCUCAUUAAAGCCUCAACUGCCACACAACAGACAAAUCCCCACAUCACAAAGCUGCACCUUAAACUUUCCUCUCUAAUCUGAUCUGUGUGUAAAGCAGCGACGUCCUCGAACGCUUCACGCUGCAAAUUCACAAAGUGAGCUCCCACACACAGAAACGCAUCCUCGGUUCUGCCCAUCGAGACAAACCUAACGACGGCUACUCUGGAGCAUUCUGCUGUAGCCAUGGCAACAGGAAGCAAAGCCCACCGACGGCAGAGAUGCUCCGCAUUGGAACGCGCCGGCAUUGCAGCACGGACAACGUGGCAGGAAAAGCAUCAGGCGGAAAAAGAAAACACGCAAAAGAUCAUAAAGACACGGAUGGAGACAGGAUGAGGGAUGGAUACACACAACCCAGAAGACCUGAUAUGAGCCAAGAGACAUAUGUUAUGGGUAUUGAUUAAAGUGUCAAGCUGGAGGCAACAGA